rnacentral:rRNA from 1 species
UACGACUACCAACAGGGGGCCCCGUAAGGUACUGGAUCUAUGAUUGGGGUG